rnacentral:rRNA from 1 species
AUUGAACGCUGGCGGCAGGCCUAACACAUGCAAGUCGAGCGGAUGAAGGGAGCUUGCUCCUGGAUUCAGCGGCGGACGGGUGAGUAAUGCCUAGGAAUCUGCCUGGUAGUGGGGGAUAACGUCCGGAAACGGGCGCUAAUACCGCAUACGUCCUGAGGGAGAAAGUGGGGGAUCUUCGGACCUCACGCUAUCAGAUGAGCCUAGGUCGGAUUAGCUAGUUGGUGGGGUAAAGGCCUACCAAGGCGACGAUCCGUAACUGGUCUGAGAGGAUGAUCAGUCACACUGGAACUGAGACACGGUCCAGACUCCUACGGGAGGCAGCAGUGGGGAAUAUUGGACAAUGGGCGAAAGCCUGAUCCAGCCAUGCCGGGUGUGUGAAGAAGGUCUUCGGAUUGUAAAGCACUUUAAGUUGGGAGGAAGGGCAGUAAGUUAAUACCUUGCUGUUUUGACGGUACCAACAGAAUAAGCACCGGCUAACUUCGUG